ACGAACGCUGGCGGCAGGCUUAACACAUGCAAGUCGAUCGCUCGUCGCAAGACGGGAGUGGCAGACGGGUGAGUAACGCGUGGGAACAUACCCUCCGGUUCGGAAUAACUCAGGGAAACUUGAGCUAAUACCGGAUACGGCUUAGCGGCGAAAGAUUAUCGCCGGAGGAUUGGCCGCGUCCGAUUAGCUAGUGGUGUGGUAACGGCGCACCAAGGCGACGAUCGGUAGCUGGUCUGAGAGGAUGAUCAGCCACAUUGGGACUGAGACACGGCCCAAACUCCUACGGGAGGCAGCAGUGGGGAAUAUUGGACAAUGGGCGCAAGCCUGAUCCAGCCAUGCCGCGUGAGUGAUGACGGCCUUAGGGUUGUAAAGCUCUUUCGCCAGGACGAUAAUGCGGUACCUGGAUAAGAAGCCCCGGCUAACUUCGUGCCAGCAGCCGCGGUAUAAUACGAAGGGGGCUAGCGUUUUGUUCGGAAUUACUGGGCGUAAAGCGCAUGUGCGGGUCUUUAAGUCAGGGUGUGAAAUGCCAAGGCUCAACCUUGGAAUGCCUUGUACUGGAGAUCUUGAGUCCGGGAGAGGUGAGUGGAACGCGAGUGUAGAGGUGAAUUCGUAGAUAUUCACAGGAACACCAGUGGCGAAGGCGGCUCACUGGCCCGGAACUGACGCUGAGAUGCGAAAGCGUGGGGAGCACAAACAGGAUUAGAUACCCUGGUAGCCACGCUGUAAACGAUGGAUGCUAGCCGUUGGGAAGCUUGCUUUUCAGUGGCGCAGCUAACGCUUUUAAGCAUCCCGCCUGGGGAGUACGGUCGCAAGAUUAAAACUCAAAGGAAAUUGACGGGGGCCCGCACAAGCGGUGGAGCAUGUGGUUUAAUUCGAAGCAACGCGCAGAACCUUACCAGCUUUUGACAUGUCCUGGACGGAUUGCAGAGAUGCGAUUCUUCUCUUCGGAGCCGGGAACACAGGUGCUGGCAUGGCUUGUCGUCAGCUCGUGUCGUGGAGAUGUUUGGGUUAAGUCCCGCAACAGAGCGCAACCCUCGCCCUUAGUUGCCAUCAUUCAGUUGGGCCACUCCAGGGGGACUGCCGUGAUAAGCCGGAGGAAGGUGGGGAUGACGUCAAGUCCUCAUGGCCCUUACAGGCUGGGCUACACACGUGGCUACAAUGGCGGUGACAGAGGGAUGCGAAGGGGCGACCCCAUGGCAAAUCUCAAAAGCCGUCUCAGUUCGGAUUGCCACUCUGCAACUCGAGUGCAUGAAGUUGGAAUCGCUAGUAAUCGCGGAUCGGCACGCCGCGGUGAAUACGUUCCCGGGCCUUGUACACACCGCCCGUCACACCAUGGGAGUUGGUUUUACCCGAAGACGGCGCGCUAACCGCAAGGAGGCAGCCGGCCACGGUAGGGUCAGCGACUGGGGUG
rnacentral:rRNA from 1 species